UUGAGGAUUUGGGAAUUUUUUUUUGGUGCUUUUUUUGGGUCUGGUUCUCGUUGGAGUUUUUGGGAUUUUGGGAGGAUUUUUGUGGCGAUUUUGGCGGAUUUUUGGGGAAUUUUUGUGGUUUUGUGGCUGAUUUUUUUGAGAUUUUUGGGGAUUUUUUAAAAUUAUUUUUGGGUGUUUAUUUGGUGGAUUUGUGGAAUUUUUUUUCUGAAUUUUGAGAGAUUUUUUGGCGAUUUUUGGGAGAUUUUUUGGCCAUUUUUGAGGGAUUUUUGGGGGCAUUUUUUAGUGAUUUUUUGUGGAGAUUUUUAGCGAUUUUUGGGGGCGUUUUUUGGCGAUUUUGGGGGGAUGUUUGGACCAUUUUUGGAGGAUAUUGUGGCGAUUUCUUUGGUGAUUUUUGGCGAAUUUUUUGGGGUUUUUUUGGGAAUUUUUAGAGGAUUUAUUGGCGAUUUUUUGGGGAGAUUUAUAGCGAUUAUUGGAGUAUUUUUAGGGGAUUUAUUGGCGAUUUUUUGGGGAAUUUUUGGGAGAUUUAUUGGCGAUUUUUUGGGGAGAUUUUUAGCGAUUAUUGGCGUAUUUUUAGGGGAUUUAUUGGCGAUUUUUGAGGGAAUUUUCGGCGAUCAUUUGAGAAGCCUUUUGGCCAUUUUUUGGUGAUUUUUGGCUGGUGGCUCAUUAACCCUUUCCACGCCAACUCUCAUUGGCCAACACCU
rnacentral:lncRNA from 1 species